AUGGUUGGACAAGAAAUAAUCUGUCUUAAUUGAAUAUAUUGAAUUUAACUUUUAAGUGAAAAGGCUUAAAUAAUCUGAAGGGACGAUAAGACCCUAUAAAACUUUAUAUUUGUAAAUUGAUAGAUAAUUUUAUUUAAAUAUAUUAUUUUAAAAUAUUUUGUUGGGGUGACAAGGAUAAAAUUAUAAGUAACUGUCCUUUUUUAUUACAGAAAUGUUUGGUUUAAUGAUCCUUAAAUGGAUUAAAGAUUAAGUUACUUUAGGGAUAACAGCGUAAUUUUCUUUGAGAGUUCUUAUCGACAAGAAAGUUUGCGACCUCGAUGUUGAAUUAAAAGUUCUUUAUAAAGUAGAGAUUAUAAUAGAAGGUCUGUUCGACCUUUAAAUUUUUACAUGAUUUGAGUUCAGACCGGUGUAAGCCAGG
rnacentral:rRNA from 1 species